AUGGCAGACCAAGCAUGGGUGGUAGAAAAGGCAAUUGGGUAUCUUCAAAGUGAACCAAACAUUGGUGGCAUGGAGCUCCUAAAAAAGCUACAAGCAGAGUACAAAUGUACUAUUGGGUAUGAUACUGUUCAAAAGGGAAAAGAAAGGGCCGCAAAUAUGUUAUAUGGAACCUGGGGGAAAAGCUUUCAGAAUUUAUUCAACUUCAAAGCUGAGAUUGAUAAGAGAUCUCCAGGCAGCAUUGUUGAGGUUGAUGUCAAGAGGGAAAAAGAUGGAGUGUAUUUCUGGAGAUUUUUUAUGGCACUUAAGCCAAGCAUUGAUGGCUUUUUGGCUGGUUGUAGACCAUAUCUCAGUAUAGACUCCACACAUUUGACUGGAAAGUGGAAUGGUCAAUUGGCGGCAUGUACAGCACUAGACGGACAAAACUGGAUGUUUCCUUUAGCAUUUGGUUUCUUUGGUACGGAGACUAAGGAGAACUGGGUUUGGUUUAUGCAACAACUACAUAAGGCAAUAGGACAUCUUCAAACUCUAGCUAGUUGUACUAAUGCAUGCAAAGGGUUAGAGAAUGUAGUUACUGCCGCUGAUAAUGACGUUGGUAAUGACGUUGGUAAUGACGUUGCUCAUCUCACUCCCAACGCCUCCUGA
rnacentral:rRNA from 1 species